AUGCAUUUGGGAUUACAGUGCCAAGCAUUCGUGCUGGGAUUUGAGACAGUGCCAAUCUCAUCUCGAACUAUUACUAGCAAAUAAAUCAUAGGUAGAAGGAAUCUCAGUGAUUACAAUUACAGCAGCGCCACGCCAGUAGAGUAGAUUCCGUUCGUUCUAGCAAUCAUGCCAGAACUCACUGAUCCAUGUGCUCCCAGAAGGAAGGAUCUCGUUCCCAUAGCAUAGCCUAUAAUGAAUGUGGCUUUCCCCCCCAUCUCCUAUCUAUAGCUUCUAUAGCUUAUAGCUGGAAUGACCUAUAUGACCGGAACCACCUAAACAUCUAUAUGACCGGAACGGAACCUCAACCUAUAUGUAUAUGACCGGAACCUAAACAACCUACUGGACUUGCUUUGCUACUUGAGCCUAAGCUAUAUGAUCUGAACCAACCCUAUCGGGACUAGAUCCUGUCUACGGACUUGAUCCUGUCAUGUCAACGGACUUGCACUUGCCUGUCAAUCUUGACGGACUUGAUUGUUUCAAUACGUCAAUCAAUACGGAUUCUCUUUCCUGUGGAAAUGCUAUCUACCUGGAAGGAAGGUUUGUUUCCCGAAGGAAGGAGAUGGAGAUUCUUUCGCUGGAGAGAUACUUUCUCAUUGGAGAGGAGAUACUUUCUCUUUUCGGGCUCGAAAUCUGUCCUGUCGAUUUCUCUGAUUUAAGGGCGCAAGCACAAUACUGCACUCUCCCUGCUUGCUCGCCCGAUCCGUCGAUCUUCUCGAGAGGAGCAGUUCAAAUCACCCUGUACGGAUCCAUUGGGAUCACCUAGAGCCGCGAGUCCAGUUGAGUGAAUCCUUUCAGGCUGGAUGGAUGCGGUGGGCUAGCUCUGCUCUCUUCUCGAAAUUGCAUAUUGCAUAGAGUAGUAUUGUACGAAACGAUAUCUCGUAACGGAAGGAUGGAAACCAAGAGAAAGAAGACAGCUCUAUCUCAGAAGUGAGCUCCGUCUCACAAGUUAGCUCCGUCGACACCUCGAGCUAUUCAAACGAGUGUUCAGUCAUCAGAUCUCAAUAUCGGGUUGGGAAUCUUUCUAGACUAAAAAGUUUCGUUUUCGUGGGUCGGUGUCAAGUCUAUCUCUCAUGUUGCUCCUCAGAAAACGCGUAGAAUAGUAAUGUCAUUGGCCCACUAGAUAAGGAUGGGACAAACGCUCUAGUCUAUGCGUUAGAAGGCAACUAGUAUUUUUGGUUAUUUUGGGAGGGAGUCUUUUUCUGUCUUGAGGGUUGGUUUGAUUGGAAAUCGAAAUGCCUCAACUUGAUAAAUUGACCUUAUUUCUCACAAUUCUUCUGGUUAUGCCUUCUCCUCUUUACUUUUUAUAUUCUCUUUUAUAAUAAUAAUAAUGGAAUACUUGGAAUUAGCAGAAUUCUCAAACUACGGAACCAACUGCUUUCGCACCGGGGGAACAAGAUCCGGAGCAAGGACCCUAAUAAUUUGGAAGAUAUCUCGAGAAAAGGUUUUAGCACCGGUCUCUCAUAUAUGUACUCCAGUUUAUCCGAAGUAUCCCAAUGGACCGUCGACUAUUUGGGAAAAAGGAGGAAAAUCACUCUGAUCUCAGAUUUCGGAGAAAUAAGUGGCUCACGAGGAAUGGAGAGACAGAUUCUCUAUUUGAUCUCGAAGUCCUCAUAUAACACUUCUUCCAGUCGGAUCACUUGUUGGAAAAACAUAAUGCUCACACAUGUUCCACACGGGCAAGGAAGCAUAAUCUAAUGAACUUAGAUUCUUUUCUUUCUAUAGGACUGAGGAUCCUUGCCUAGAUCCAGAAAAAGUUGGAUGCGCCGGAAGCUGAAGCGGAAAUGCAAUUCUCGGGUGAGGAAAGGGUUGUCUCAGGUACGCCUGGGGCAGGAUUGAAUCGAUGUACCUAAGCUAAACUUAUAAGAUUGAACCACCUAUAGACGGAAUUAGGAGAGCUGAGGUUUAAUCCAAGACCAGGAAAGCACCAGCUAUAUCGAAGCCCAAUGCCAAGCAAAGCCCUAGACGGAAAGUGAAGAAAUUGGCUUCAAGCUUCGCCCUUAACCCAAGAUGAGGUGGAGCCUUACCCCGACACAAGGUGGGACCCUCCCAUUAGGAUAGUGGGCUUAGUCAGACCAACAUAGGUUGUCAACCAAAAAGGAGAAGCUCCCGUUAUUGUUGGUUUAUGGACCUAAGACGAGAGGAUUGGGCUUAGAACAAGACCUUUCGGUGGAUAUGAUCACAUCUUCAUGACAAUAGGUGUACACCUUUGGCCUCACUCAAGGUAAUGGGUGACCAAACCUAACGAGUCUAAACAAAUUGGAUCUUAUUGUGUGACAAAAAACUGAGAUUGGGAAUGCUUGGCAGGUAUUUGAGUACCAGUAAAUUAGGGAAAUCAAACACAUAAAGAAGUUUUCUUUCCAAGCCUGGUAACACCACACUUAAGUAAGUCGAUUCAGAUUAGCCAACAAGCGAAUCCAUUCCAUUAACUCAGUCAACUCUUUCUGGUAAAAGUGCUCAUCAUUACUACUAUAUAUAAUAUAAUAUAAUAUAGUAAAUUACAGACAACACUCAAUGCUAAUGAGUGGAUCAAGUCAUUUACUAGUCAAUGAACUGACUAAACCCUGUCUGUUCUGGGAAUUGACCCACUUAACUAUACUCUUAGGGCAAGCCGCCCUGUGGUAAUUAACUCCGUAAAAUCUGUAUCAGUCUUGAGGCAAUUUGGAAAUGCUAGACAAAGAUAUUAAUCAGAGUCAGUCAAUUCCCUAGCUACAGUUAAUAUGAAAAAUCCCGGGUAGGUAAUUCAAACACGCCCCACCCAAUAGGUGAAUCUUUCAAAGUGUGGGAAAUCUCCCCUUUCUUCAAUCCUAGAAUCGAUGCCUAAGAAAAAGGGUAUAUCUAUUAAAAUGCUCAACCCAUUCAUGCGAUUCAAUCCUCUGCUCUGAUUCUAUUAAAAAGGAAACACUCCACUAAGUCGUACACACUCCCCAAUAAGUCUGGUAAUUAAUUCGUUCAAAUCAAUGCUCGGUGCAGCAGGUAAUGUAACUUAAUCAAUCGCAAGCGGCAAAAGAACUCAAACUCAAUCCACAAUCCGUCUCGCUCGUCUGGGAAAGAAGAGCAGGCUGUUAGGCAAGCCGGCUUUAAUACAACCUCUAGGGAAGCCAGGAAAGUUGGUAUAUACUUUGUACCAAGUACCAAACUUUUGAAACAGUUUGAAUCCAAUAAGGAAGAAAUGAAAAAGCUAGGCCGAAGGAUGAGAUGGCAUUUCAAGAGAAUAGUCGAUCAGUAUGGCAGGAAGAGGUCUCUUUGUCAAAUCCUCUAUCAUCUAAAGCUGGGUCAGAAACUUCCUUUAGGAGCAGAAGAAUUUGCAGGCCGUAGGACAAAGCUUCCAUUCUCGAAGAAACUAGCCAAGUUUGAAAACACUUAAGAGGGCUGGGUAUUGAAAGAGUCUGGCAGGAAGAAGUAUAGUACCAAGCGGCAGUAAGCCUCGAUUCGAAUUAGCAGAGAGGUCAGUUUUAGGAGGUCGGUGUCCAGUGGAGUUCAGCGAGAAACUCAAAGUAAUACAUACCUAUUUGUUGCGAUGUGAUUGCUUCGCACCUUUCAAUAUUUCUUUUACUUCUAGUGCUAUCUUCCAUCCGUUCCAGUUCAUGGAUCUUCUUCUUGUUGUAGAACGAGAAUUGGAUUGAUUCCUAUAGUUUAGUUCUCUAUUUGCAAAUUCAUUACUUAAUAACGAUCUUAUAGGCUUUGUCUCAGGCAGAUCUGGAGCGACUGGAUUGAACAGAAAGUACUCUCACACUAUAGAAAAAAGUAAAGUCCACUAAAAGUACAUGCACUCUUUUCUUACACUUAUAGAGGUUCGAAGAAAUGAGUAAAAGGUAGACUAAGUGAUCAAUCAAGAUCUUGUCUCAAAACCUACUCUUAGAAGGCUCAUUCCAGCAGCCUUAGCACAAGCAAGUAGACCGUCACAAAAGAGAAUGAAAUCAAAACCGGAGAAUGAAAUGCUUUACUUAUAAUACUAAGACAACCAGGCACUUCACUUCAGGCUUUGAUCCGCGACUUACAGAACUGUUUUGCCUGACAUUCAAUCGUUUUCUUGUCUUUUUUUCUUCCCACUACUAUAUAUAAUAUAACCUUUAGAUUUUAUACUCCAUCCAACCACUCUCUGUUCCAUUUCUCAUUCCUUAUUCCUGAAAGGAUAGGUUCUUUAUUCCAGCUGUUCGUUAGAAUCUUAGCUCGAAUUCAAUGUUCGGAUGCUCCAUCCUUCGCGUCCAAUCCCUGUCAGGAGGGGCAGCUUCCUCGAGUCCGGUCUCGGAAGCUGGGGCAAAAUAGGCCAGUCUAUCUGAGGGAACGGGACCUACAAUCAGGAUCUCUUCCGCGGAUCUCUUGCCUUGCUUCUUGACUGGAACCUGGCACUUUUAGCGUGCAUCUAGUCUGCAUAUCCCUUUCUGCAAAUCUCUAUUAGCUCUGCUGCAGAAGUGGAAUGUGAGCUUGGGAAUACCCUUCCGGUUUCCAGAAUCCUAGCUUGAUUUCUUGCGUUUAAAGGCAGGCUUGACCAACCACAUCACAUAAGCCAGCGCAGCGAGAAAACUGAUUCUUCCACGGGAUUCCGCUUCCUACGAAACAUACGUUUUACGAAUUAACGGUUACCAGUAGCGAGCGAUCCUUUCCUACAAGGUAAGGCCAUGGACAAAGGUUUUUUAUCUACCCCAGCGGGGGCAGUUUUAGGAGUCUUUUUUUCAAUCCAUCUUACUUUGAAUCCGGGCUCGCCUUCACUCGGUCAAGGGGUUGCCCUUUACCUCGUUCCGUGGUCCUUUAUCCCCUCCUUGCUUGCCUAGUUUUAUUCCUUUCCGAGGCCCAAAAGCCAAGCAUCACAAUCAGAGGGUUAAUCCUCCAACCAGAACCAACUUAACCUAUGGAUAGUCUCCGCCGGCCUAGGCGGAGAUGGCCAACUGAUAGAUACUUAUCCUGCCCAGCGGGUGCUACUUCUCUUCUUUCUCCUAUUUGCUUUGCUUGACGGUGAAACCUAUCGAUCAUAUCCGGAAGUUGCUUAACACUACCCUCGAAUGCAAGUCAGCUCUUCGAUUCUCGAGAAUCGGGGUGGGCCAGGUGAUUAUUUGAUUUCCAAUAUGGAUAUAAUGAUGUGUAAGAACUGCACCACCGAUAUAGCACCCUUCCUCGGACUAAGGAUAUUCGUACUCCCAGUGCUCUUGCUUCCUUUGCACCCCGGCUCCGAAGGAUCAGUAGGGAGGACUCCGGAUGCCAGUAUCGGAAUGGAAACAUUCCUCGAAUGAUAUGAUGGUUGUGAUGCCCCGUUCGUGAUACCCAGGGAAGGGGACUACAUCAUACUUCUCUGAUCCAGUCCUUUCUUUAUUGACAAUAUUUAUUAGUUGACCACUUUACUAGGCUUUCCCUAACAAAAGUAUUCCGAGUGACCACCCUAUUGUCACUUUACUGUCCAGUUCGCGAGUCCCACUCACUUAUUUUAGUCAAACCGACCCUAACUAAAACUAAGUUAAGUAUAGUACUUUUCUCAAUGCUGCCCGCCUCUCAUCUGUUUUCUAAUCAGCUUCUAUCUUCUGUUCCAACCAAGGAAGCUCUUCUAUUCAACCGGUUCGUAUCGCCAGGCCCCUCAGGGGGUACGGUUUAUCUAAUCACACUGCUCGCUACUACAGGGAUUCCUUCUCCUUGCCGAGUUGCAGGUGUUACCACCCUAGAUAUUCUAUUUAUUAUUUGUAUGCUGCCUUCUCUCCUUCAUCUGGAUUUUUGAGAUGAUUGUUAUGUUAGUUCUUCCUUCUAUGUUGUAAGGUGCAAUCUCAUCCGAUGUUUGCCAGUUUGCCCGAGUCUUCCCGAUUCUUAUCCAGCCCAGCUAGAUUGGACCAACAUCAGCGGUGCUUCUAUUAACCCUUGCUUCUCUACUAUUCUUAGGUCUUAGGAGAACCCUAUCUUCCAUAUUCCUAAUCCUCAAGUACAGUAGGCCGCACUCUUCGAUCCUUUGGUCCUAGAACACCUUUUGUCGUAAACUAUACUCUACAUUCCCCCUCGGUCUACUCCGCCAAAGUAGCGACAAGAUUCAAUUGCUGGUUCGAUUCCAGCUCGCUAUCCGACGGUUAAUCCUUUAACCAGAGAUCAGCAUCCAAGGGUUAUUCCUUGAACCAGUGCUUCCUAUCGAAUCGAUCAUUCUUUACUUACUUUAUUAAGAUUAAGUGGGCAUCCCUCACUGAAAAGAGAAUCAAGCAGGAAAACCCUAGGACGAGGGAUAGUGAUAUUCCUUUCACCGAGCAAGAAACCAUCUCUUUCUUUCACAUAUAUAUAUCUAUUUCAAGAAGUCCAAUCCACCACUAUCAAUGGAGCACUCUACUCUAUACUAUUACCGAGUGAAGAUUUCAUCGGAUCCGGCUUGCUUUCAUUGAAGGACAAGAGCGGAUAGUUCCCUUCCCUUUCUUCGAUGAACCCUUAUCUUUCGAUAGAGAAGUACAGCGAGAUGAACGAUAAGUCGAACGACAGAACAACCUGAUGUUACUGCAUCAAGUAAUUCAGAUUGUCAUAUUGAGAUUUUUUCCUUUUUUGUACUUAUUAUUCCAAGCCAAAAGGCUAUGUUCUCCCCCAUACAGCUCGCAAGGCUCAUAACCUAACUGCUCUACUUACUUAAUUCUUAAUUCAGAAAUUCAACAACCCUCCCUUGAAGGGCCAAAACAACAGCAGAGUAGCAGGUCAAAAAGAGAGAGAGAACUGAAACCGAAGAUACUUGGGUUGGGAGAACUCUUCUACAGUACUCCAUUAACAGAAUAAAAGUAUAGACCAAUCAGCCUUCCUUAUUGUCCAAGAUCAUUACUAAAGUGUUGGCCAACAGACUAGUACCAGUGGUGGAUAGGAGAGUAAGUCCCAGACAGCUAAGAUAAACUCCCGGGUAGUGUUGUCACUGCACAAGAGGUGCGUAACAGGUGUAAGCAAAGAAGAGAGCAUAACACUGGAUUUAGAAAACGAGCAUAUGAUAUGGUGAGACAACUUUCUCUUUUUUGAGGUGAGAUGCUAGCCAGCCCUCUAUUCAUGGGUGAGAUAUCGACUUUACAGCGUUACCACGUACCAAAUCGUUCACUCUAUCAGGCAGCCGGAAGUGCAUCUCUUCUUUUUGCAGGACUUCUUCCUAGCUCCGUGGAACGAAGAGUUGGAACGAAUAGUAGAAUGUUGGGCAGCAGGAAAGACUAGUUACAGAAAAGCCAGCCCCAGUUCAUUCUGGCUAUUGCAUCCGUGGAAUGCAUAGUUAGCUCCGUUUUCAAGUCCCACCCUACCUACUUAUUAGCUUGCCCUGUUUCUAAUGCGCUGUGGACCUUGCUUGUUGGCUUCGUCGACCAAUUCAAUUCCUUGUGUCGGCUCCGAUCUAACUAGUAAGAAGAAAGAUAGAUAUAUAGAAUUGGGUGGGCAGAGUUGGCUUGCUUCCAAGAGAAUAAACACCUGGCGACUCGAAAACAUGAUGCGCUAGGUUUCGAUCAGUUAAUCGAGAUAGGCUGUACUUUUCAUUCGAUUUUGUUACCACGUGCUUUUCACUUCAUGAUCAUGGCUCAUUUUCCUAGAACACCACAAAAAAUCUCCCUACCAGUUUUAUGAGAGUGCUCAGUCAACUUCCUAUAAGAGUUCUGCUUUUGCUAAUCAAAGACAGACAUCAAUCCCUCAUCCUACUCUGUCUGUCAGUCGGUUACUCAGUUCUGUUAGCUACUCACGUGUCUAUACUAAGCUAAGAUAUUCCUCAUUCUUGCACAGGACAGGACAGGAGAGGGGAUUGCCUUAGCUACCGGUACCGAACUCCGAUCAAACUAAAACGAAAAGCUUAACCGAUUCUUGUAGAGUCCUUAGCAUUAGAUAAUGCAUGCGCACACAAGAGGAAUGAACUUGCCUUCUAGUGAUUUGGAAGGAUUGAGUCGGCUGCCCCCAGCCUCGCCCCGCAUCGCCCUCCGGGGGUAGUUACGCCAGUGGAACCAACUCACAAAGCAGCCCAAAAGCAGGAACUUUUCUUGAUUGAAUUGGUUUAAAGGUAAUUCAUCAAUCCUUAAAUUAUUCCAGGAUUCUUUUGGGAUGCUAUCCACCCUUUGAUUUACGAAUUGGCUAUAAUAUUUACUCUGGAUCCCUUCCAGCUGCAAGUCAAGAAGGAUCCUUUGAAACAUUUUAGGAUUAUACUCACAAUUGGUUUGGGGGUUUCGUAUUGCAUUGCCCGCACUAUCCAUAUCCUGGAACAGGAUUGAUUUGGCCAUGGAAAGGGCCAGCUAAACGCCUAAGCUCUGAAAGUACGGAUUGCUUCCCUUCAUAGAUUUUAUUAGUUAAUUUGAGAAGUUCCUCUGGGCUCCUGGUCCUUUCCAGAUACUGCAAACUCAAAUUAUGAAAUAUGAGAUCCCUGCUACUCAGAGUCAGAGACCCGAAAGGACGUGGUGGACUCCCUGGUUCCCCCUCAUCUGCAGGAGAAAUUGAAGAAGGUGCAGCCCCGCCCCCUGCGGAGUGACUCGGGGCCGGCGGUGGAGUAGUACCUGACUGGGUCGAGUAGGCACCCUCCUCAGGGCUAAGUGGCGGAUCUAGAAAAUAGUCUGAGCCGUCAAGAACUAUUUCAGGGGGCAGACCCGAGUGCUCUAUUGGAGCUUUGCCCUUGCCCUUAUCUUGGGCUUGACAGGUAGACUAUAAAGAGAUUCAGUACAGCAAGCCUGACACUCAUAUUUAUUAAUAUAAUGGGGACCCAGAGAAAGAUAAUAGAGAGCCAUCUGCCAAUAGGCAGAAUAGAUUCCACACUCACUUCAGAUUCUGGGUGGGUAAAGGGAAACGUGAUCUCUAUUCUGAGAGGGAGCGCGGUCGAGCAUAGACUCGGCAACAACCAAUACAUCCAAUACCACAGUAGGCCCACGUACUACAGCUUAAAUGUACUGUAUGUGCCAUCAUAAACCAUUUCAGUCGUAGUACCUAACCUACCAGGCACUUGUUUGCCACCAAGAUAACCUAAUUAACGUGAAACCAACUGUAUUUCCGCUGUAGUACCUACCAGGCUUGUAACCAAGCUAAGUGAAAUUGAAAAACAUUUUCGCUGUACUACCGCUCGUGUAACCGACGUAAUCGGUCUUAAACACCUAUAAUAUAAGGAACUCGUGUACAACCAUAACAUUUAUAUAUUUCACAGGUGUACCACCGUAACCAAUUUCACUCGUGUACUACAAAGAAGAAAAGAAAAAAAGAAAAUUAUAGCUUUCUUUUUUUUUGGUGCGUGCUUUUCGCCUGCCUUCCCGACCACGGAUAGGCUACGGGGCUUUGCACUUCGGCCCCUGUGAAUACCACAUCAAGGUGACAGGAUUCGAACCUAUGGCCCUCUGUACCCAAAACAGAUGCGCUGACCAGACUGCGCUACACCUCGUCUCCCCCCCGGAACAUAUGGUAUGGAUCUACCCGAUCGAAAAAGACUCGAACCGCAGUCGCCCACCCCGCGGCACAGGGAGGCGAGAACCACCGCUUUUAGGAAAUAAGCCUACAAUUUUAUUUGAUUCUCGUCUCGUUUCACUUGCAUUUUCUUUCGGAAUGACUUGAUCGUUCUGAGAGUGGAAUCGAACCACUCACUCCGGAAGGAUUUAGAGUCCAAAGGGCCCAGCGAAAGAAGUCCCACGCCAGCAGCCUGCCAGAACCAUUAAUACAGGGUUUGAUCCACUGAACACCCACACAAUCUCGAUUUGACAGAUCAUCGCCAUCUCUUUGGACAUGCAUGUGUUAAGCAAAUGGACUGAACUGAAUGAAGAGUGAUGUCACAUCGCAUUUUCGAUCUUAGGCGAACGAUGGGUUACCGGGUCUACGACCUCGCAAGGCACUACUGUAGACCUCUUUGGGCCAGACGCUUUCUCAAUCAAAAAUGGAAAGAAGGAGUGAGUCUAUCACCUACGUCAUUUCUCAAGCAAAAAUGGAAGCAUUAAGUCAUCGUUCCGUCAUACAACAUCUAAGGUCAUCCCUUACGACUUCCCUACAUCACCCUUCUAAGCUCCUUUGCCCUAUGACAAAAGUCUACUUUGAAUGAAUGAUCAUUUUACGGUUCGAUUCCGGCUCGUGACAUGAAGAAGAAGUCCCAAACAGGGAUCAGAUGAGUUUGCACAGCGUUACUUUUUGUUCUUCGUUGACGGAAAAUCAAACGGUUCCCGGUCUUUUCAGAAGACUAUGCUUACUUUCUUUUCUCUUACCGGUCUUUUCAAUCAAGGAAAUGUAUUCCGUUCCUCGAAUCGGGACUUUCUUUGUCGAGGAUCUCUGGUACUCCAUCGAGUUUCCGUUUCUUCUUCUAAUGGCUGUGUCCGUCUAAGGUGGCUGGCUAUUUGAGCGAUUUAAGUAUCGCGGUUGUCUUGAGCUCUGGAUUGAUGGACGGGGCUGGGUUCAAUUUCAACUCGGAGAUAGCCGGGUCUAUAGCUAUAGUAAGAGCCGCUUUGUGAACAGCAUCGGAUAACAUAGCAAGGGUAGCCGCAAUAGAGCAAUUAUGCCUUAAGCCCAAAACUCUUCCUUUCGGGGAAGGAAGAAAAGACUUUUCUUAUUCCAAGCCAGCUACGGGACAAGUGAAACGGGCAGUUAGUUCAGUGAGGACAGCAGUUCCAGCAAAGACAGUGGAAUGGUAAAGCUGUUCAUUCUCAACGGGAAAGGAUUUCUCUAUUGCAACGGGGCUAGUUUCAACAAGGUGAGCAAAGCUAGAUACUUAGGCUUGUCCAGUUGUUCCACCAACCCCUGCUCCCGACCCAGGUACAUUCUUCUUGGCAGCUCAAGACCUUUCUUGUUCCUUGCUCCCGUGGAUCGAUACUAGUUACUUACCUUUAAUCUUAGCUUAGUGUCUUUUACCUAACCUACUCGCUCGCCGAGCUUUUUUUAUCUUGGUUAUUGGCUUUUUUACUCAAGUUAGAGCUUUUCUUUCCUGGCUUUUUCACUCGAGUUGUUCGCUUGGCUUUAGCUCAUUUUUUUGUCCAUUUCUUCUCUUUACAGAUCCCCUCGAAGUAUCCAGAAGAAUGGCAAUGCAAAAUAAUAGCAAUAGUCGUCUCGUAGGUGCUGGUGAAAGAAUAGCUUAUGGGGCUGGAGUCAAAGGAGCUUUCAUAGACAUAGAAAUCAUAAUAGAAAGAGCAGGCCUGCGAGCAGCGAGUGCCCUUUGUAAGUUGCGAGCCUGCCUGUCAAACCAUAGGCGCCUUACCGCCCCCCUUUCUUUUUUGAAUUAGAAAGAAGGGGAUGAAAGACAAAGAAAGAGAUCAGGUUAUUUAUGAUCGGAGAAAAGGAAGGGGCGUGGUUGAUGUGUCACUGGGAACCCGUAGGAAGGGGAGACGACCGGCCUCAUUCACAUCUGAAAUCGCCAACAUGAACACAAACGAAAUCGUCGAAUUUCGUAUAGAAAGAAAAGGAACCACUUCUAUUCUCUUCUCUUUUCUUAGGUAUAUGAAGAAUUGCUUUUUGGUCCCUUUCGUCCAGUGGUUAGGACAUCGUCUUUUCAUGUCGAAGACACGGGUUCGAUUCCCGUAAGGGAUAUUACUUCAUCCUGGCCUUCAAAUCGUUGGUGCUGAUUAUCAUAUAAUCUCCUUGCUUUGGAGUGAAGAAAAGAAGUUCGAUCAGUUCAUUCAAUUAGGAAGCGUCAGACUAGGCCUUUCUUUCAACGAAUGUCUCAUUCUAAUCUACCUACCCGGAUCCCUUUGCUACUAAGCGAGCCAACUAUCUAUCGACAGACCCAUCAGCUUUGCACUUAACUAACCCAUUUAUUUCCAACAGUUUGACGCCCCAUUCCUCGUUUUCCCACUUGUACUUCUAUGCCUUGCCCCAUAGAGAGGAGUCUUCUUUCUUCGGAAAAACGGCUGAAUUCGAUUAAGUAUUCCCAUAGAGAAAAAAGCCCACUAAUAACUGGAGCUGGAGGUAGUAGCCCUUCCUCUUUGGUCUAGUUGACCGCAGCACCCAUUGCCGAAAGCAGCUCAUACGGGGGUAUUUCCUUGGCCAACGCUUCUAGUAGGAGGCAUAUUCCUUUCUCCCGAGGGUGAGGUUUCUCACUUUUGCCUAUGGCUGGCAUAACCAAAUCUAGAGCGGAGUGAGCCAAUCCAUUUGUAACCGUUUCAAAGUCUUCUGCGGCAUCUUCUGGAUCAGAAUCUCCUGCUCAACCGAGAAUGAAUUCAUUUUCAUUGUAUUAUGUGGCAGUCCCACUACUUUCAACCAUGGAAGCGAAUCGAUGAUCCUGUCCAGAGUAUCUUUAUGAAGAAUAUCCUAGCCUAGUCAUAGCUUUCUUUGUAAAUGAUCUCUCCUCUGCAUCGCUGGAAAAGUUCUCAACCGGAUUAUCGGAGAACAACCGCACUCAACCAAGAACUUCCCCUUCCCCCAUUUCCCUGUCUUCGCUAUUUUGCUUUUCUACUGCUUGCUCCCCGAGCUCCCUAUCCGAGUAAGUCCUACCUUCCUGGUUGGCAAGUAGUAAACCCUACUUCCCUUUCAAAUCCUUGAUUUGAUCAUCUUCAUUCCAUGGUGGACGGAGGAAAACUAGUUACAAAUGUUCUUUGCUCGUGAUACUUUGAAUUGAAAGAGGAACGCUUGCAACGAUAGCCCUUGUCAAGCAAAGCAUCCUAGUGUGAAAAAGCAAGAAAAUGCACUGACUGGCCCUGCCUUCAGCCGUACUCUCCUUUCAUCUGGGUGGGUACUAGUUUGAAAGCAGGAACUCGGAAAGGAGGCACGGUUUUAGCAAGAAGCAAGGAAUUCCAAUUCAUAGGAAAGCCAGCCCUUCGAAGAAAACGGAAGUGCUAGCAACGAAAGCAGCAGGGCCACGAAUCGGAUUAACAGAUAGGGAUCAGGUUGUUGUUGAAGUUCAGUAAAGAGCAGGGCCAAGCCAAGCCGGAUUAGCAGAAGAAAAAAAGAAAGAGAAGGGAUACCCUUGCAUCCCUUCUCUUUCCAUUUUCAAUAUUACAGAUUAUCUAAUCUUUGUUGCUGCUUAGGACUAGGCGAACAUCAGAUGAGAUGAAAGCUAGUACUACCUCAUACGAUACGGUGAAGAAAUUCUAAUCUGCUCUAGAAAACCACUUUUCAUGUUCCAGAUAUAGCACGUAGGUUGUGACUCCACAUGGGGAGCUGAGGGACAUAACAUGAUAAUAGAAGGUCAUCCUAGGUAGAGCUGUAGCACAGAUCCACGGAGCGGGAGGUAAGAGGAAAAGAAAAGAAUACCACCAUAAAAGAAAAUUGUGCCCUCUUGAGCCCUAAACCUAGGAGCAAUGGUUUCUCUCCUUCCCAAACUGCAACCGCAACCAGUUCUAAUUCAAACAGUGUGGUGGAGUUCAAUCAGAAACUCUCCUUCAUCCCUCUUCAAAUGCAUUCCUCACUACGAGAUUGAAUAUGUUUUCCCAGCCUCCCACCAGUAGGCGAAUCCCUCCAACCAAUGACUACACUACCUUGGUUAUCCGCUUUCAUGUCUUGGAUUGAGCUUUCUAACUCUUAUUAUAGUUGGGUGGGCGGAAAGAAAGGACAAGAUUCCUGCUUCGUUCAAAGUCCUAGUCCUGUCUCCUGAUAUCUCGCCCGCUAUUUCUAUCUCCGCUAAACCUAGUCACUUGGCUAGCUAUACUUCUAUAGGAACUAUCUAAGCUAUACUUUACUUGACAUGACUGCCUAUCCUGGAACUAAAAGUCUUAAAUACGUCUCUCUUGGCUACCCGUGACUUGCGUUGACCUAUCCCUACUACUUGGUUAUUAGCUUACCCUUUUAUACCUAUUAGAAACCCUAGCUAGCUUGUAAACACCUAUCUCGUGCUUUACUUCUAUACUGACCUAAACGUGAACUGAACAAUAUGCCUACCUUUUUUAUGUUUCUCAACAAUAAGCAUCCCGUGGUGACAACAAACCAUAUGCCAACAAACAACUCCUUAAAAUGCUUAUAUGUAUACAGCUUGGCCUUGCUAUUCACAAAUGUCUAUCAGCUUCUCCUGCUUCUAUACUUGCCUAUCUGUGACAUGACCUAUUCCUACUUGCUUUGUCAACUACUUUACGAUACUUAACUUAACUUUACGAUACUUUACUUUAUCCCCAGACCUAUAAACAAUGGGUCUCAAUUCGGGAGGAAGAACCGGUAAAUUGUACAUACGAAUGUCAAUCUUCAUUUAAUACACUGGUAGGGGUCGAUCAGGCAAAUCCCAAAGCCCCGAACUGCUCUACUGAUCUUCUCUCUCUUCAGACUCACUGAACCAGACUCCUUUUGCACUGAGAACACAAUUAAGAACCCUCCUUCUCACAUCACAAGAAGGCAAACCUUGUACGUUGAUCGAAUCUUCUUUCGCAUCCAGAAGAGAGGCUGUGGGCUAUCCGAGAGAGUGGUUCAGGUGACUACCGGAGUCAUUGAUUAAGCAGGUCAGAUGGGCUUAGUAGGGCUCGAACCUACAAUAUCACCGUUAUGAGCGGUACGUUUCAACCAAUUAAACUAUAAGCCCAAUCGGAUCUCUACAUGCCGGGAA